rnacentral:rRNA from 1 species
CGUACACUCCUACGGGAGGCAGCAGUGAGGAAUAUUGGACAAUGGGUGGAAGCCUGAUCUAGCCAUCCCGCGUGCAGGAAGACGGCCCUAUGGGUUGUAAACUGCUUUUAUCUGGGGAUAAACCUACUUACGUGUAAGUAGCUGAAGGUACCAGAAGAAUAAGCACCGGCUAACUCCGUGCCAGCAGCCGCGGUAAUACGGAGGGUGCAAGCGUUAUCCGGAUUUAUUGGGUUUAAAGGGUCCGUAGGCGGACUGAUAAGUCAGUGGUGAAAUCCGACAGCUUAACUGUCGAACUGCCAUUGAUACUGUUAGUCUUGAGUAAGGUUGAAGUGGCUGGAAUAAGUAGUGUAGCGGUGAAAUGCAUAGAUAUUACUUAGAACACCAAUUGCGAAGGCAGGUCACUAAGUCUUAACUGACGCUGAUGGACGAAAGCGUGGGGAGCGAACAGGAUUAGAAACCCGGGUAGUCCC